rnacentral:rRNA from 1 species
AACUUUCAACAACGGAUCUCUUGGUUCUGGCAUCGAUGAAGAACGCAGCGAAAUGCGAUAAGUAAUGUGAAUUGCAGAAUUCAGUGAAUCAUCGAAUCUUUGAACGCACAUUGCGCCCCUUGGUAUUCCGAGGGGCAUGCCUGUCCGAGCGUCAUUGC